GAUAUUUAUCAUAUAUUUUUUUUUCAUUUGCGUUUUGAAAACAUUUGCGUACAGACGACAACAUUGUCAAAACGAUCUCCAUUCACA